rnacentral:rRNA from 1 species
GAUGAACGCUGGCGGCGUGCUUAACACAUGCAAGUCGAACGGGAAACCUUUUAUUGAAGCUUCGGCAGAUUUCGCUGGUUUCUAGUGGCGGACGGGGGAGUAACGCGUGGGUAGCCUGCCUUAUACAGGGGGAUAACAGUCAGAAAUGGCUGCUAAUACCGCAUAAGCGCACAGAGCUGCAUGGCUCAGUGUGGAAAACUCCGGUGGUAUAAGAUGGACCCGCGUUGGAUUAGAUGGUUGGUGGGGUAACGGCCCACCAAGGCGACGAUCCAUAGCCGGCCUGAGAGGGUGAACGGCCACAUUGGGACUGAGACACGGCCCAGACUCCUGCGGGAGGCAGGAGUGGGGACUAUAGCACAAUAGGGGAAACCCUGAUGCACCGACGCCGCGUGAAGGAAGAAGUAUCUGGGUACGUAAACUUCUAUCAGCAGGGCAGAUAAUGACGGUACCUGAAUAAGAAGCCCCGGCUAACUACGUG